GUACUUUUUGACUCUAAUUUUGUGCAUUUUAAAUAUUUAUUAUUAUGGGUAAUUUUCCUUUUAGAUUUAAAAUAAAUAGCACUACAUUAACCGUUUUUGUAUUUUCUGUUGUGGUUUUAUGCUAUUUUCCAUACUGUGUAUACUAAGUGGCAGCAUAUUUCCAUUUUCACAAUCCCAAUGGGAUAACCAUCAGAUGGUGAAUGGGAUUAAACAAGCCAAUGGUUGUUCCUGGAAAAAAUCUGUAGGAGUGGGACCCAGAUUUCCUGAACACAGCACUCUUCCAUCACAAUCAUUUACUUUACAGUUGUCUUUUAUUAGAAAAUAAGUUUCUUUAUUCAUUAAAGCAUGAUAUAUAAUUGCUAUGGAACAUUUUACAAUUAAAUUUUCAUACUUUUAUUCCAUUAUUGUACAAUACAGUAAUAUUUAAAGUGAAAAAUUACUAAAUUAUACUUUUUAAUACCAACCAGAAAUAAAUUGAGAUUAUGUUCUAAGAAUUGUAACAGUAAGUC
rnacentral:lncRNA from 1 species